GAUGAACGCUGGCGGCGUGCCUAAUACAUGCAAGUCGAGCGAACGGACGAGAAGCUUGCUUCUCUGAUGUUAGCGGCGGACGGGUGAGUAACACGUGGAUAACCUACCUAUAAGACUGGGAUAACUUCGGGAAACCGUAGCUAAUACCGGAUAAUAUUUUGAACCGCAUGGUUCAAAAGUGAAAGACGGUCUUGCUGUCACUUAUAGAUGGAUCCGCACUGCAUUAGCUAGUUGGUAAGGUAACGGCUUACCAAGGCAACGAUGCAUAGCCGACCUGAGAGGGUGAUCGGCCACACUGGAACUGAGACACGGUCCAGACUCCUACGGGAGGCAGCAGUAGGGAAUCUUCCGCAAUGGGCGAAAGCCUGACGGAGCAACGCCGCGUGAGUGAUGAAGGUCUUCGGAUCGUAAAACUCUGUUAUUAGGGAAGAACAUAUGUGUAAGUAACUGUGCACAUCUUGACGGUACCUAAGCAGAAAGCCACGGCUAACUACGU
rnacentral:rRNA from 1 species